rnacentral:lncRNA from 1 species
GAAGUUUUUGGAGCCUGAGUAUCACGUCAAACUUCACCAUCAUUCUUGUUAUUGUCGGUCGUCAUUAGAUUAUGGGAUUUCCCUAAUUCAAUUUUGCCCUUACAGCUCUCUAGGAUGAAGCAAACAUUAAAUAAUUUUUUACUAAACAAGGUGUAAAACCAUGACCUUUGGAGGAAACCUGGUUUUAUUUGGGUGACAUGACAUAAACAUAUUGGUUUGUUCUUAGACUUCUAAAUCUUGAGAUUUCUAGCAAUUUUGUUUUGAAUC